GGCAGUGUGGCCUAGUGGAAAGAGCACAGAACCUGGGAGUCAGAGGACCUGAGUUCUAACUCAGGCUCUGCCA
rnacentral:tRNA from 1 species